CCUACGGGAGGCAGCAGUGGGGAAUAUUGCGCAAUGGGCGAAAGCCUGACGCAGCGACGCCGCGUGAGGGACGAAGGUCUUCGGAUUGUAAACCUCUUUCAGCAGGGAUGAAGCGAAAGUGACAGUACCUGCAGAAGAAGCACCGGCUAACUACGUGCCAGCAGCCGCGGUAAU
rnacentral:rRNA from 1 species